UGAAAUUCUACUUUGCAAGAUUUUUUUUUCCCAAUUGGCCCUAUCCCAACCCACCUCUCCCUUCCCCCAUCUCAUAAACCUCUGCCUAUAAAGAGGAGGCAUUGCCACCCUCUUUGCACAUAUCAUCUCCUUGACUUCAAAUCUUUUCUCUUUUUCUGAGUUCUGACUCUUAAAAAAAUCCUUCUCAUUACUCUUUUUCCCUUGCAGAUUUUUCAUAACCUUAAAGAGCUUAUCUUUUCUUUUUAUAAUAAUCUCUGUUCCACCAUUAUUGUGUUGGCAGAUAUAUACAAAAGAAUCAAUGGCAUCAAGCUCAAUGUCCUCACGUGGGUCUGGUUCCUGGACUGCACAGCAGAACAAAGCUUUUGAAAGGGCUUUGGCUGUGUACGAUAAGGACACCCCUGACCGUUGGGCCAAUGUCGCCAGAGCAGUUGGAGGGAAAACUGCCGAAGAAGUGAAGAGGCACUAUGAUCUUCUUGUGGAGGAUGUCAAGUAUAUUGAGUCUGGCCGAGUUCCCUUCCCUAAUUACAGGACCACUGGAGGUACUACCAGAGGUAACUUGAAUAAUGAACAGAAGAGGUAUUCUAGUUUAUUUAUAAAAAAAAUAAUAAUAAAACCUACAUAAACAACUUUUAUAUAUACCAACAAACCUUACUUUUCAUCUCUUUUUUUCUAUUUUUUAUACUAAGAAACCAUUUGAGGCUUUGGGUACAAGAAAUCCAAAACUGAGCAUCUGAUCUAAAUGGGUGAUGUGUGAUUCGGAGGAGGAGGAGACGAAGAAGAAGAAGAAAAAUUAAGGCUUAGUCAAUAGGAGUAUAUCCUCAUGAAAAAUGAAUUUCAGUGGUCCUAAAUUACGUGUACACAAGAAAAUAAGUUAACACAAAAUCAAAAUUUCUGACCCCACAGGCACUUUUCACGUGGCUUGUAUAAUUAAUGAUUUUGACUCUCAAUUUACUGGGUUUUAUCUAUAUGUAUCCAUAAAUACAUUACCCAUGAGCAAUAGAGAUAAAGCUAACUUAAAUUUAAUUUCUUUUCCAAUGCAGGAUGAAUAAUAUGAAGCUGCAGUGAGUUAGAAGAAAGCUGAAGAAUCAUCAACAGCAAACAAUCAAGAAGAAUCCUUAAUCUAUUAUCCAUUAUUGUAUUAGAAGCCGUACUUGUUAGUAAAUGUUCUCGUAGUAGACCUACUUCAAGAAUCGUCUAUGCAGAUUCUACUCUUUUAAAUAAGUUUUGUCUUUUUCUCUCUCUUUUUUUUUUGUGUUCUUAUUGUGGUGUAUUAGGCUCCUGUGUUGCUAUAUAAAUGUAUCAAAAGAAGGAAGGCACUUUGAAUCUUGAAUUCUCAUGUGCUUUCCAAUGUGUAAGCUUACAUAAUAAAUAUUUUGUUUAAUUA
rnacentral:misc_RNA from 1 species